rnacentral:rRNA from 1 species
GAUGAACGCUGGCGGCGUGCCUAAUACAUGCAAGUCGAGCGAACAGACGAGGAGCUUGCUCCUCUGACGUUAGCGGCGGACGGGUGAGUAACACGUGGAUAACCUACCUAUAAGACUGGGAUAACUUCGGGAAACCGGAGCUAAUACCGGAUAAUAUAUUGAACCGCAUGGUUCAAUAGUGAAAGACGGUUUUGCUGUCACUUAUAGAUGGAUCCGCGCCGCAUUAGCUAGUUGGUAGGGUAACGGCUUACCAAGGCAACGAUGCGUAGCCGACCUGAGAGGGUGAUCGGCCACACUGGAACUGAGACACGGUCCAGACUCCUACGGGAGGCAGCAGUAGGGAAUCUUCCGCAAUGGGCGAAAGCUUGACGGAGCAACGCCGCGUGAGUGAUGAAGGUCUUCGGAUCGUAAAACUCUGUUAUUAGGGAAGAACAAAUGUGUAAGUAACUAUGCACGUCUUGACGGUACCUAAUCAGAAAGCCACGGCUAACUACGUG